rnacentral:rRNA from 1 species
GACGAACGCUGGCGGCGUGCUUAACACAUGCAAGUCGAACGCUGAAGCCCUUCGGGGUGGAUGAGUGGCGAACGGGUGAGUAACACGUGGGUAAUCUGCCCUGCACUCUGGGAUAAGCCUUGGAAACGGGGUCUAAUACCGGAUAGGACACAUCGCCGCAUGGUGUGUGUGGAAAGUUCCGGCGGUGCAGGUUGAGCCCGCGGCCUAUCAGCUUGUUGGUGGGGUGAUGGCCUACCAAGGCGACGACGGGUAGCCGGCCUGAGAGGGUGACCGGCCACACUGGGACUGGGACACGGCCCAGACUCCUACGGGAGGCAGCAGUGGGGAAUCUUGCGCAAUGGGCGAAAGCCUGACGCAGCAACGCCGCGUGGGGGAUGACGGCCUUCGGGUUGUAAACCUCUUUCGACCGGGACGAAGGAUUCGUUUGACGGUACCGGUAGAAGAAGCACCGGCUAACUACGUGCCAGCAGCCGCAGUAA